ACAUGCCCACACCUGUGGCUUCUGAAGCAGAGCACCAGCAGUGACAGUCCCACCAGAACCGCAUGGAAUAGAAAACUGUGCAUUUCCCUAAGGAAAGGGAAUGCCAGAGAAGGGCAGAAGGGAAAUCAGGAAGACAAAACGGUAAAUUACCUACCACAAAUCCAAUUCAUUGGUAUUUUUCCACUUACACUUAACCAAGCAACGAUUUCUCCUGGUCCCAUAAUGGAAAAGAGGGUUUAUCUAGAUUCAUAUAUACAAGACUGAAGAGUGAAGAGAGACCCAGAGAAUGUUCUAAAAUCUGCCAGUUAGCAUAAUCACACAGAGAAAUCUCUGCUUCCAGAGGAGGAGCCAAGUUCAAGUCAGAGGUGAGGAAUGCCAACAGGAAAGCUCACUUUCUCCGGGGAUAUUCAGGCCAACACUAGGAAACCACAGCCAAGUCAGGCAGGGCUUGGGGCGGAACUGCUGACACCUCCACCCUAGCCAAUCCAAGGUGCACGCCUGCCUCAUGCAGCCCAGCGUGACUCCCGCCAUUGGCACACUGUGCCCAUCACAGGCUGGAGCUCCUUUCCUCCACCGUCUUCCCAACUCCUGCCAACCAGAACUUAACUACUCCUUUGGAUUCUGCUUUUCACUUGUUCUUCAUCAGACUAUGGAAGCUUAGACUUCAUAAUUUGGCUGAGACUUCAAAAAUAGUUUUAAAGAAAGCUAUUCCCACCCUGCUAAAUGUCUUCAUGUUGGAGUGGACCUUUCCUCUAUCUGUCAACAGAAUGGAUAAAUUGUGGAAGAGUAAUAUCAGAAUACUACACAUCAGUAAAAAACAACAAACUUCUGCUACAAACAAUCAACAUCGAUGAAUCUUUCAGGCAAAAGGUUAUAGAAACAGAUGAUCAGUGGCCCACGGAUUCCAGGUGAGGAUCUGGGACCCAGACAUCCAGAUAUUGAAAACACAGGGAUGGAGUCUGUAUGGAAAAAAUUAAAAUAUAGCAAAAUGUGAAAUACGGAAGAGAAAUCUUUCAAUUUCCCAAUGGAAGUGAGAAAAGAGCAAAGAAAAGUAUUGGUCUUCCAAAACAAAUAGAGGACGGAGCUGCUGCUGUUGCAUGGUGUCUAGAAACUCAGACAACUUCAUCAUUCCAUAUUUGCAUCCAAGAGAGAGAAAGAAAAACUACAAUCAUUUUCCAUUUACCCAUCAACCCAUCAACCUCCAAAGACAGGGUCUCACUAUGUUGCCCCAGUUGGCCUUGAACUGCUGGACUCAAGGGAUCCUCCUGCCUCAGCAUCCUGAGUAGCUGGGUCUACAGGCAUGAACCACCAGGCCCAGAACCCUGUCUUUUGAAAGCCAUAUGCGAUCUGUCUGCCCUGAAGUGACUACUUCAUCUCCAACCAGCCCUUGGCUGGCAAAGUCAGGAAGACUCCAGUCUUUCCUGAAGACCAGGGGAGAGUUUAUAACUCUAGCAUCAAAGUCAGCAGCUGUUCAUCUAGAAGACAACUUCCCAAAAGUCAAUGUCUUUGCCUGAAGCUUUUCUUCCCAGAUCUCCUAUGGUGAAACAACCAAAGGGAAGAAGAAUGUGGGCAGCCCUCAGUAAGACAGGAGAUGAGCAUCAACAUUGACCCAUUCUUUCUUCCAGUCCUCGAUGCUUACCUUGUACAUUCUUCUUUGUCUUCCGACUCAGUGCCUUUAGGGUAUGGACGUUGCCUGGUCCCACACAAGCCAAGCAUCAAAUGGAUGGCUCAACAAGGAGGCCAAGACCAGCUAAUGUUUAGUGAGCACCCAAAGGGGCCACACUGGAGAGAACAGCACAGCUCCGUCUGAGAAACAGCUGUUCCUUCCUGCCUGAGAGGCAGAGUGAUAGAAGAUAUCACAGAAUGUUGCUGCUUUGUCUUCCACCCUGAACCCUCCACGACCUCCCUGUAGCUUCCUGAUUUUAAGUAGACAUCAAAUGAUUCUUAAUCCUUUCUGGGUCUUGGAACGAUUUGAAAAUUGUCAACAGUACUGGGAUUCCCAGAAUAAUGCACAUAUGUACAUACUCAGAUAUUCCCCAAGCCCUGGAUAUAAUUUUAAGGGAGUUCACAGACCACACUCCCCCACCCAUCUGUGGACCCAGAUUCUGUGGGUUCGAGAUUCAGAAGCCCUGUUUCUAGGCAGGCCCUCUGUUGCUAACGCCCCUCGAGAACAUCACCCUAGAUGAUUAUCCCUUCUUCCUCCACUCCUUCCCACCUUCUCCAACUGCUGGGUUUCAGCACAAAGAUUGCUUGCCAGUUAAACUGGCACCAUGGACCGCACAGUAGUUGUUUCUUGGGUCUAGAGGAAACAGCCAGAUUCCUUUAAGUAAAUCAUGUCUUAGUUAUUGAUUGUCUCCACUUGAAGUUUUUGACAAUCUCUGAUUAAAUCAUAAACCACUGCA
rnacentral:lncRNA from 1 species